AGCGAACGCUGGCGGCAGGCUUAACACAUGCAAGUCGAGCGGGCGUAGCAAUACGUCAGCGGCAGACGGGUGAGUAACGCGUGGGAACAUACCUUUUGGUUCGGAACAACACAGGGAAACUUGUGCUAAUACCGGAUAAGCCCUUACGGGGAAAGAUUUAUCGCCGAAAGAUUGGCCCGCGUCUGAUUAGCUAGUUGGUGAGGUAACGGCUCACCAAGGCGACGAUCAGUAGCUGGCUGAGAGGAUGAUCAGCCACAUUGGGACUGAGACACGGCCCAAACUCCUACGGGAGGCAGCAGUGGGGAAUAUUGGACAAUGGGCGCAAGCCUGAUCCAGCCAUGCCGCGUGAGUGAUGAAGGCCCUAGGGUUGUAAAGCUCUUUGUGCGGGAAGAUAAUGACGGUACCGCAAGAAUAAGCCCCGCUAACUUCGUGCCAGCCGCCGCCGUAAU
rnacentral:rRNA from 1 species